UACAGAGGUGGCAAGCGUUGUUCGGAAUUACUGGGCGUAAAGGGCGCGUAGGCGGCCUGUUAAGUCGAACGUGAAAUCCCCGGGCUCAACCCGGGAACUGCGUCCGAUACUGGCAGGCUUGAAUCCGGGAGAGGGAUGCGGAAUUCCUGGUGUAGCGGUGAAAUGCGCAGAUAUCAGGAGGAACACCCGUGGCGAAGGCGGUUCUCUGGGACGGUACUGACGCUGAGACGCGAAAGCGUGGGGAGCGAACAGG
rnacentral:rRNA from 1 species